rnacentral:rRNA from 1 species
CCUACGGGAGGCAGCAGUGAGGAAUAUUGGUCAAUGGCCGGAAGGCUGAACCAGCCAUGCCGCGUGAAGGUCAGUGCCCUAUGGGCGUUAAACUUCUUUUGUUCGGGAGCGAUAAUGGUCACGUGUGGCCAGACGAGAGUACCGUACGAAUAAGCAUCGGCUGACCCCGUGCCAGCAGCCGCGGUUAGUCGGGGGAUGCAAGCGUUAGCCGGGAUUAUUUGGGUUAAAGGGUGCGUAGGCUGUACGGUAAGUUCGCGUUGAAAUGCCCCCGCUCAACGGGGUGAAGUGCCAUUGAUACUGCCUGGCUGGAAUGCGGAUGCCGUGGGAGGAAUGUGUGGUGUAGCGGUGAAAUGCAUAGAUAUCACACAGAACACCGAUUGCGAAGGCAUCUCACGAAUCCGCGAUUGACGCUGAUGCACGAAAGCGUGGGUAUCAAACAGGAUUAGAUACCCUUGUAGUC